GAUGAGCGCUAGCUACAGGCUUAACACAUGCAAGUCGAGGGGAAACGACAUCGAAAGCUUGCUUUUGAUGGGCGUCGACCGGCGCACGGGUGAGUAACGCGUAUCCAACCUGCCCACCACUUGGGGAUAACCUUGCGAAAGUAAGACUAAUACCCAAUGACGUCUCUAGAAGACAUCUGAAAGAGAUUAAAGAUUUAUCGGUGAUGGAUGGGGAUGCGUCUGAUUAGCUUGUUGGCGGGGUAACGGCCCACCAAGGCGACGAUCAGUAGGGGUUCUGAGAGGAAGGUCCCCCACAUUGGAACUGAGACACGGUCCAAACUCCUACGGGAGGCAGCAGUGAGGAAUAUUGGUCAAUGGGCGAGAGCCUGAACCAGCCAAGUAGCGUGCAGGAUGACGGCCCUAUGGGUUGUAAACUGCUUUUAUAAGGGAAUAAAGUGAGUCUCGUGAGACUUUUUGCAUGUACCUUAUGAAUAAGGACCGGCUGAUUCCGUGCCAGCCGCCGCAGUAA
rnacentral:rRNA from 1 species